AUUGAACGCUGGCGGCAGGCUUAACACAUGCAAGUCGAGCGGAGAUGAGGUGCUUGCACCUUAUCUUAGCGGCGGACGGGUGAGUAAUGCUUAGGAAUCUGCCUAUUAGUGGGGGACGACAUUCCGAAAGGAAUGCUAAUACCGCAUACGUCCUACGGGAGAAAGCAGGGGAUCUUCGGACCUUGCGCUAAUAGAUGAGCCUAAGUCGGAUUAGCUAGUUGGUGGGGUAAAGGCCUACCAAGGCGACGAUCUGUAGCGGGUCUGAGAGGAUGAUCCGCCAAACUGGGACUGAGACACGGCCCAGACUCCUACGGGAGGCAGCAGUGGGGAAUAUUGGACAAUGGGGGGAACCCUGAUCCAGCCAUGCCGCGUGUGUGAAGAAGGCCUUAUGGUUGUAAAGCACUUUAAGCGAGGAGGAGGCUACUGAGACUAAUACUCUUGGAUAGUGGACGUUACUCGCAGAAUAAGCACCGGCUAACUCUGUGCCAGCCGCCGCCGUAAUAC
rnacentral:rRNA from 1 species